GACGAACGCUGGCGGCGUGCCUAAUACAUGCAAGUAGAACGCUGAAGAGAGGAGCUUACUCUUCUUGGAUGAGUUGCGAACGGGUGAGUAACGCGUAGGUAACCUGCCUUGUAGCGGGGGAUAACUAUUGGAAACGAUAGCUAAUACCGCAUAACAAUGGAUGACACAUGUCAUUUAUUUGAAAGGGGCAAUUGCUCCACUACAAGAUGGCCCUGCGUUGUAUUAGCUAGUAGGUGAGGUACUGGAUCACCUAGGCGACGAUACAUAGCGGACCUGAGAGGGUGAUCGGCCACACUGGGACUGAGACACGGCCCAGACUCCUACGGGAGGCAGCAGUAGGGAAUCUUCGGCAAUGGGGGCAACCCUGACCGAGCAACGCCGCGUGAGUGAAGAAGGUUUUCGGAUCGUAAAGCUCUGUUGUAAGUCAAGAACGGGUGUGAGAGUGGAAAGUUCACACUGUGACGGUAGCUUACCAGAAAGGGACGGCUAACUACGUG
rnacentral:rRNA from 1 species